CUGACAAAGCCGUUGAGUUUGCGGGUAUUCAAUGCCAGAUUCAUUUUGGCAAUUUCAAUGUAGCCAAACACAAGCCAGGACUUCUAGAUUUGAAAGAAUUCCUUCCACAAAGCUUUAUCAAGAAGGGAGUCGAAAGAAAAAUUUUCCAGGAACACGCUAAACAUAACGGUUUGUCUGACCUGAACGCAAAAGUCUUGUACACGAAACUAGCGCGCUCACUGAAAACCUACGGCGUCACUUUCUUCCUGGUAAAAGAAAA